AGCGAACGCUGGCGGCAGGCCUAACACAUGCAAGUCGAACGAACCUUUCGGGGUUAGUGGCGGACGGGGGAGUAACACGUGGGAACGUGCCUUUAGGUUCGGAAUAACUCAGGGAAACUUGUGCUAAUACCGAAUGUGCCCUUCGGGGGGAAGAUUUAUCGCCUUUAGAGCGGCCCGCGUCUGAUUAGCUAGUUGGUUGAGGUAAUGGCUCACCAAGGCGACGAUCAGUAGCUGGUCUGAGAGGAUGCUCCGCCACAUUGGGACUGAGACACGGCCCAAACUCCUACGGGAGGCAGCAGUGGGGAAUCUUGCGCAAUGGGCGAAAGCCUGACGCAGCCAUGCCGCGUGAAUGAUGAAGGUCUUAGGAUUGUAAAAUUCUUUCACCGGGGACGAUAAUGACGGUACCCGGAGAAGAAGCCCCGGCUAACUUCGUG
rnacentral:rRNA from 1 species